GAGAGGAUUGCGCAUAUAAAUGAACAAAAGAGAAAACCAGGGAAUUUAUUAAGCUUAGGACGGAGAUGGACCACAUGAUCACCGGAGCAAAGUAUUCGGCGGCUGUGGCAUGGAGACUAUUCUGGAGAAAAUGGGCAUCCAGGGGAAGGUGCCAGCGAUGACCAGCUCCUGGAGCUGAUCAGGGAGGACAUGAGGCUGCAGAGGGAGGCAGAGCAGCAGAGGGCACAGGAGAGAAGGGAGAACUUUGACAGCUUUUUACUUUGCUAGAAAAAAAUGGUUAAUAAAGAUUAAGCAUGUACAUAUAAAAGAAAUAUCUAAAUAAAAUCAGUUCUGCAUUAAACUCUUGAAUUUUAUUUUUGUUUACAAAUGAGAAUUGUUUACUAGAGGGUAUCCGCUGGGUCUGAAAAGUCUUAAAAGGUGAUAAAUUGGUUUUGGUCAAAUUAAGACCCUUAGAAAGUAUUAAAAACUAUUAUCACAUCUUUGCUCAGGCUCAGCUUGUCGAAAGUAUUUUCUCUGAAUUAGCUCUCCAACAGUCAAGGAAAUGAUUAAAAAGCUAAAUAAAACGUCGAGCUCCAUCGUUUAAAGUUCCUUCUCCCUUCUGCUCAGCGGUUCCACGGUUGCUAGGCGACGGAACGUUCGCCGAGGGAGUUCAUGAAGGCUAGGCCUGUCCAAAUUCACAGCCGUUAACAUCCGGUCU